rnacentral:rRNA from 1 species
CAGUCGCCGCGGUAAGACAGAGGAUGCAAGCGUUAUCCGGAAUGAUUGGGCGUAAAGCGUCUGUAGGUGGCUUUUCAAGUCCGCCGUCAAAUCCCAGGGCUCAACCCUGGACAGGCGGUGGAAACUACCAAGCUAGAGUACGGUAGGGGCAGAGGGAAUUUCCGGUGGAGCGGUGAAAUGCGUUGAGAUCGAAAAGAACACCAACGGCGAAAGCACUCUGCUGGGCCGACACCGACACUGAGAGACGAAAGCUAGGGGAGCAAAUGGGAUUAGAUACCCCGGUAGUCCCUGUCUCUUAUAC